rnacentral:rRNA from 1 species
UUUCCGGUUGAUCCUGCCGGAGGCCAUUGCUAUCGGAGUCCGAUUUAGCCAUGCUAGUCGAGCGAGGUUAGCCCUCGCGGCGAACAGCUCAGUAACACGUGGCCAAGCUACCCUGCAGAGGGGGACAGCGUCGGGAAACUGACGGGAAUAGUGUAUACCGGUCCACCACUGGAAUGCCGAGUAUGCCAAACGCUCCGGCGCUGCAGGAUGCGGCUGCGGCCGAUUAGGUAGUCGGUGGGGUAACGGCCCACCGAGUCGAUAAUUGGUACGGGGUGUGAGAGCACGAGCCCGGAGACGGAAUCUGAGACAAGAUUCCGGGCCCUACGGGGCGCAGCAGGCGCGAAACCUUUACACUGCACGAACGUGCGAUAAGGGGACUCCGAGUGCGAGGGCAUACAGUCCUCGCUAUUGUGUACCGUAGGGUGGUACACGACCAAGAGCUGGGCAAGACCGGUGCCAGCCGCCGCGGUAAUACCGGCAGCUCGAGUGAUGGCCGAUUUUAUUGGGCCUAAAGCGUCCGUAGCUGGCCCUGCAAGUCCGUCGGGAAAUCCACUCGCCUAACGAGUGGGCGUCCGGCGGAAACUACAGGGCUUGGGACCGGAAGACUUGAGGGGUACGUCUGGGGUAGGAGUGAAAUCCUGUAAUCCUGGACGGACCGCCGAUAGCGAAAGCACCUCAAGACGACGGAUCCGACAGUGAGGGACGAAAGCUAGGGUCUCGAACCGGAUUAGAUACCCGGGUAGUCCUAGCUGUAAACGAUGUUCGCUAGAUGUGGCACAGGCUACGUGCCUGUGCUGUGUCGUAGGGAAGCCGAGAAGCGAACCGCCUGGGAAGUACGUCCGCAAGGAUGAAACUUAAAGGAAUUGGCGGGGGAGCACUACAACCGGAGGAGCCUGCGGUUUAAUUGGAUUCAACGCCGGGA